rnacentral:rRNA from 1 species
AUUGAACGCUGGCGGCAUGCCUUACACAUGCAAGUCGAACGGCAGCACGGGUGCUUGCACCUGGUGGCGAGUGGCGAACGGGUGAGUAAUACAUCGGAACGUACCUUAUCGUGGGGGAUAACGCAGCGAAAGCUGUGCUAAUACCGCAUACGCCCUGAGGGGGAAAGCGGGGGAUCGCAAGACCUCGCGCGAUUAGAGCGGCCGAUGCCUGAUUAGCUUGCUGGUGGGGUAAAAGCCCACCAAGGCGACGAUCAGUAGCUGGUCUGAGAGGACGCUCAGCCACACUGGGACUGGGACACGGCCCAGACUCCUACGGGAGGCAGCAGUGGGGAAUUUUGGACAAUGGGGGCAACCCUGAUCCAGCAAUGCCGCGUGAGUGAAGAAGGCCUUCGGGUUGUAAAGCUCUUUUGUCAGGGAAGAAACACCGGCUCUAACACAGUCCGGGAAUGACGGUACCUGAAGAAUAAGCACCGGCUAACUACGUGCCAGCCGCCGCCUAA